rnacentral:rRNA from 1 species
UACAGAGGUCCCGAGCGUUGUUCGGAUUCACUGGGCGUAAAGGGUGCGUAGGUGGUGAGGAAAGUCGGAUGUGAAAUCUCCGGGCUUAACCCGGAAACUGCAUUGGAAACUACCUUGCUAGAGGUUUUGAGGGGGGACUGGAAUUCUCGGUGUAGCAGUGAAAUGCGUAGAUAUCGAGAGGAACAUCAGUGGCGAAGGCGAGUCCCUGGAAAACACCUGACACUGAGGCACGAAAGCUAGGGGAGCAAACAGG